rnacentral:rRNA from 1 species
GACGAACGCUGGCGGCGUGCCUAAUACAUGCAAGUCGAACGCAGUGGGGACGGGUGAGUAACACGUGGGUAACCUCCCAUCAGAGGGGAUAACACUUGGAAACAGGUGCUAAACCGAUAUUGAUGGAUGGACCCGCGGUGCAUUCGCUAGUUGGGGAGGUAACGGCUCACCAAGUCCACGAUCUCUAGCUGGGCUGAGAGGAGGAUCAGCAACACUGGGACGGAGACACGGCCCAGACUCCUACGGGAGGCAGCAGUGGGGAAUAUUGCACAAUGGGCGCAAGCCUGAGGCAGCCAUGCGGCGUGUAUGAAGAAGGCCUUAGGGUUGUAAAGUACUUUCAGCGGGGAGGCGUUACCCGCAGAAGAAGCACCGGCUAACUCCGUGCCAGCCGCCGCGGUAAUAC